rnacentral:rRNA from 1 species
UACAGAGGGUGCAAGCGUUGUUCGGAAUUAUUGGGCGUAAAGCGCGUGUAGGCGGCUUAGCAAGUCGGGUGUGAAAGCCCUCAGCUCAACUGAGGAAGUGCGCCCGAAACUGCUGAGCUUGAGUACCGGAGAGGAUGGCGGAAUUCCCCAAGUAGAGGUGAAAUUCGUAGAUAUGGGGAGGAACACCGGUGGCGAAGGCGACAUCCUGGACCGGUAUUGACGCUGAGGCGCGAAAGCCAGGGGAGCAAACGGG